UCAGAACGAACGCUGGCGGCAGGCUUAACACAUGCAAGUCGAACGAGAAGGUACCUUCGGGUACUGGACAGUGGCGCACGGGUGAGUAACGCGUGGGAAUCUACCAUGGAGUGGGGGAUAACAUUUGGAAACGAAUGCUAAUACCGCAUACGCCCUACGGGGGAAAGAUUUAUUGCUCUAUGACGAGCCCGCGUUAGAUUAGGUAGUUGSUGGGGUAAUGGCCUACCAAGCCUACGAUCUAUAGCUGGUCUGAGAGGAUGAUCAGCCACACUGGGACUGAGAUACGGCCCAGACUCCUACGGGAGGCAGCAGUGGGGAAUAUUGGACAAUGGGCGCAAGCCUGAUCCAGCCAUGCCGCGUGAGUGAAGAAGGCCUUAGGGUUGUAAAACUCUUUCAACUGUGAGGAUGAUGACAGUAGCAGUAGAAGAAGCACCGGCUAAU
rnacentral:rRNA from 1 species